rnacentral:rRNA from 1 species
AUUGAACGCUGGCGGCAGGCCUAACACAUGCAAGUCGAGCGGGGUUUUCGGACCUAGCGGCGGACGGAUGAGUAAUGCGUAGGAAGCUACCCGAUAGAGGGGGAUACCAGUUGGAAACGACUGUUAAUACCGCAUAAUGUCUACGGACCAAAGUGGGGGACCUUCGGGCCACAUGCUAUCGGAUGCGCCUACGUGGGCUUAGCUAGUUGGUGAGGUAAUGGCUCACCAAGGCGACGAUCCCUAGCUGGUUUGAGAGGAUGAUCAGCCACACUGGAACUGAGACACGGUCCAGACUCCUACGGGAGGCAGCAGUGGGGAAUAUUGGACAAUGGGCGCAAGCCUGAUCCAGCCAUGCCGCGUGUGUGAAGAAGGCCUUCGGGUUGUAAAGCACUUUCAGUAGGGAGGAAGCGUUGUGUGUUAAUAGUACACAGCGUUGACGUUACCUACAGAAGAAGCACCGGCUAACUCUGUGCCAGCCGCCGCGGUAACAC